UGGUGGGUAGUUUGACUGGGGCGGUCUCCUCCUAAAGAGUAACGGAGGAGCACGAAGGUUGGCUAAUCCUGGUCGGACAUCAGGAGGUUAGUGCAAUGGCAUAAGCCAGCUUGACUGCGAGCGUGACGGCGCGAGCAGGUGCGAAAGCAGGUCAUAGUGAUCCGGUGGUUCUGAAUGGAAGGGCCAUCGCUCAACGGAUAAAAGGUACUCCGGGGAUAACAGGCUGAUACCGCCCAAGAGUUCAUAUCGACGGCGGUGUUUGGCACCUCGAUGUCGGCUCAUCACAUCCUGGGGCUGAAGUAGGUCCCAAGGGUAUGGCUGUUCGCCAUUUAAAGUGGUACGCGAGCUGGGUUUAGAACGUCGUGAGACAGUUCGGUCCCUAUCUGCCGUGGGCGCUGGAGAACUGAGGGGGGCUGCUCCUAGUACGAGAGGACCGGAGUGGACGCAUCACUGGUGUUCGGGUUGUCAUGCCAAUGGCACUGCCCGGUAGCUAAAUGCGGAAGAGAUAAGUGCUGAAAGCAUCUAAGCACGAAACUUGCCCCGAGAUGAGUUCUCCCUGACUCCUUGAGAGUCCUGAAGGAACGUUGAAGACGACGACGUUGAUAGGCCGGGUGUG
rnacentral:rRNA from 1 species